CUAGACUUUCAUUGUACAGAACUGGUUCAUUGCUUUUGUCUACAAGACAAAGAUCAGGUCACCAUGACGACUUUAGCAAACAGCAGCACGUUUACGUCCUUGGUGACAGAAGGGAGGAACUCGUUUGGGUUUUGUCAGGUCAUGAUCGCACACACUUGUGGAAGUAAAAGAUGGCAGGACGAGAAUCUCGGAGCAGUGUUUGUGUGAAGAUGUGCCCUCAGCAGAGAGCUCGUCAUGAAGCCUACAGUGAGCUGUCUAAAGAAGCUCAGAGCUGGAUGGCAGCGGCGAGACAGCGCGUGUGCGCACACCUGAAUAAUCAAAAAUCCCGCCAAGUCUGCAAACUCACCGCUGCUGCUGAGCGUCAAAAUCAACUCACAGCACAAUUAAAAGCCGCCGAGGCGAGGAAUCGUGUUAGACAGCUGAGACAACACUAUCAAAACCUGAAGGAGCAGGAAAUUAACUUAAUGAUUUCAUGCCAGUCUAACGCGCAGAGGGCUGUACGCCUGGAGCAGCUACUCCCAGUGAGAGAGAGGAAGAUAAACCACACAGACUGCAUGGACCAAUUACAGAAGGAGCAGAUCUUUGCUUCAUUUCCCCUUUCCCACUGCUGUAAUGUCGUAAUAACGUUAAGCAGCUCCCAGCUGACAAUUUUUCAUUGACCGUCAAGGUCCUGAUGGUAUCUCCUAAAUAAGCAUGAGAAUCAGAGAGAGGAGAGAAAGAGAGAGAGAGGAUCUCCUCCACAUCUACACAUAUUCUAACAGGUGGAGGAAAGCGUUCCCAUUAUCUCCCCUAAGCAGGAGUGACUGCUCCUGUUUUGUCUUAGCCUUUAUUUUACCUUAAAGGGUUCUUCAAUGAAUAAAAAAAUUAUAAAAAUCA
ensembl:lncRNA